UACAGAGGGUGCUAGCGUUGUUCGGAAUCAUUGGGCGUAAAGGGCGUGUAGGUGGUUCUGUAUGUCUACCGUGAAAGCGUACGGCUCAACCGUAUUUUGUCGGUAGAAACUGCAGGACUUGAGGCUGGGAGGGGCUGGUGGAAUUCCCUGUGUAGCGGUGAAAUGCGUAGAGAUGGGGGAGAACACUCGUGGCGAAGGCGGCCAGCUAGACCAGUUCUGACACUGAGGCGCGACAGCGUGGGGAGCAAACAGG
rnacentral:rRNA from 1 species